rnacentral:rRNA from 1 species
GAUGAACGCUGACAGCAUGCUUAACACAUGCAAGUCGAUGGGGAAGUGGUGCUUGCACCAUGGCAACCAUGGCGGACGGGUGAGUAACGCGUAAGGGACUUACCUGCAGGACUGGGAUAACAGGGGGAAACUCCUGACAAGACCGGAUAAUGUCAUGGAGCUGCAUGGCUUUAUGAUGAAAGGAGACGCCUGCGGAGAGCCUUGCGUCCUAUUAGCUAGUUGGUGAGGUAAUGGCUCACCAAGGCGAAGAUAGGUAGCCGGCCUGAGAGGGUGGACGGCCACAAGGGGACUGAGGUACGGCCCUUACUCCUACGGGAGGCAGCAGUGGGGAAUAUUGGACAAUGGGGGCAACCCUGAUCCAGCAAUUCUGUGUGCACGAAGAAGGUUUUCGGAUUGUAAAGUGCUUUCAGCAGGGAAGAAGUAAGUGACGGUACCUGCAGAAGAAGCGACGGCUAAAUACGUG